AUAAAAUAAAAUGGCAUAGCAAAAUGCAAAUAAAGACACUGAACCUUAUCAUUCCUGUCCAACAAUGGAUAAUGCCUCGAUAAACCUUAAAUUACUCCAUUUUAAGAGUUCCCUUAACAGAACCUACACCAACUCAAUCCAGAAGAGCUUCCCUAAAAUGCCUAAAAGGCCCUUAGAGAGACACGAAACUUUGUAGGGCUGCAUGAUUGAGGAAAAUCAUAAUUGACAAUUAUUUCACUUGAUAUUGUAAUUGUGAUUAUUCAUUUUGAUUAAAAUACUUUGUGAUGCAACUGCAUGCCAUAUACUUUAUGUAGGAUACACAUCCAAAAGAAGCUGAGAAUUGUUCCUGAAUUGCUGUAUUGCAUUAAAAAAAAAAAUUCAAAUUUUGCCUACAUUUUGAAUAAAUUAUACACAAAGCGUGCAACAACAAUACUUGAAUACUAGGAUGUCGUUUCUGAUUUCAUGGACCAAUUUAAACAGAUUUUCUGACAGUCUAUUGCAUUCAUGCACACAAUGGACCAAAUGAUGUUGUAAAUAGAAAAUCUUGACACUACAGUAAUAGAUGUAAAUUCAAUGAUGUAAUUGACACUUCACAAUUUGUUAAUUGCAGCAGCUGUAACUGUUAUAUAACAUUGAACAACACUGCCUAAAAGUUGUGAACCCAGGAUUCCCAGUUUUUGACCAAUGAAUUUCCAUGACCUGUCCAGUGGUAUAAUUACUGGAUAAGGAUUUUUAAAAAUCAUCAAGUCAGGCCAGUUUGCUAAUGAGUCAUUCAGACUGGUUAGUGUUUCAAUUGAAUGAGUCAAUUGAAAAGCAAAAUAUAACAAAUCAGACAUCACAACAGGUUGCUAGCAAGUAAAAAAAAAAAAAAAAAAAAAUAUAUAUAUAUAUAUAAAAAUUUUUUUUUAUAUAUUUCUAUAUUGUGCCAUUCACACCAUCAAUAAAGACAUUUAUAGGUAAUGAUACAACUUUGCAUUAAGGAGCAUUGCCAGAGCAAAAUUUCUGUAUUUUCAAAAGGGUCGUGUUCACACAUGACCUCUAAACUGGAAAUUGUAGGUAAUUUUCCGGAAAAGGCAGAACGUGUGAACACGACUAAUGGCACUUCCAUAUUUUCCAAGACCAUGGGAACCACGUAGAUUUGACGUACUGCUACCAUAGUUACCUUAAAUAUUAAUGCCUACUACAGUUCUAGGACAUGCAGAAUUAAAUAGCAAUUUGCAUUUUCAAUUUUGCAGUUAUGCAAGUCUUUGGACAACUACCAAAAUCAGACAAAAGCUAUGAGAACAAGUGGCAGCAUAAACUGAAGAUAGAAUUCCAGAGCCAUAAAUGUUGAAUUAAUCACCUUUGGCCCGAAGGCAGUGGUUCUCAAAGUGUGGGGCACGCCCCGUUGGGGGGGAGGGGGGUGCAGAAGACUGACCCAUCCUCAAAUCUUGUUCACUUUCACACAUUCAACAAAAAAAAAAAAAAAAAGGGGGAAAAAUACACAUAACCGAUGUGCGCAAUUUAUUUUCCUCUGCCUUUAAACUUUAGCCCGGCACCACAGCGCAUCCUGCGCGCGCAGCUCUUGACAGGCCUUGAUGUCAGGUGAGCUCAUAUAAACAAUGUUAUUCUUGCAUGCGCGCCAGUUUCAGAUGAGUGACAAGGUGACUUAACUCUUAAAUUUCGGUCUUUUCCUCACACAACACACUUCAUGACUUCAGAAGAAUUGAGAUCUAAGGCACGAGGGUUAUGGAGACUUUAAGGUGCUAUGAUGUGUGCUUUCAGAGCUUGGACAACCACAAACACGAUCCUCUCAUCCAUCAAUCUUGUGUUUCACGGAUGAAAAAAGUAAUGCUGAUUUUGAACGACAAGGGGUUAAGAAGAAGUGUAGAAGAGCGUUUCCACCCCUCCCUGUUACAGAAGGGGGCUGAACCAAGCUCAGUGUUCUGGCUGGAGCUUUGCCAUUGUUUGAGAUUCCUUUCACGAGUGUCUGGCUGGAAGGGUAAGACUGGUGACUGGGUAAACACUCUCUGCAGCUCUGCUUUCCCAUGACUGUCUAUCCCCACAAGACCAUCAACUGAUUUUUCCACUGCUUUAUGCAUCACAUGCCAUAUACUUAAGACAUGGAUCUGUUUUAGUUUUUAAUUAUAAUAUGACCUGAAUUUUCAAUAUUUUAAGAAUUUACACAGCAUGUAAACCUGUAUGCAAUAUUGUGUAUUUAUUGAUCUUACUGUAAAUACAUUACUAAAGUAAUGCAAUUUAACAUUCAAACAAACAACAAAAAACGUAUAUCAUUGCUAUAAUAAUUAUCCUGUUUUCUUCAAUAUCUAAAAUGUUCAAAUGUUCCAGAAAAUCCUCUCCACGUGAGUCUUGGUACUUGAAGCAAGUAGCUAUUUCUUUGCUAUUAUACAAUAAUUCUUUAGUCAACUUCAAAUAAGUAACAUAUAUAUAUAUAUAAACGUGUAUUCUGAGAAACAGACAUUGUAGAUUUUCUGAUUAGUAUAAAUUAUAAAAAAAUAAAUAAAUAAAUAAAAAAUAGAUAUGCAUGUUUUUGUUGUCAGGGGUGUUUGAUUGUGAUUGUUUGAGGUUUUUCAGCAUUUAACUGUUUAGUGUAACCUGCAUGACAAAGUUAAACACCAGCCACACUGGCUCUGAGGCUUAAAAAUAAUUCUUUAAAUAUAGGGUCCCAAAUGAUAUUUGUUUAAAUGCAAUGGCAAGAAGGAAAUUACGUAAGCAUCCACUCCACCCUCAAUGAAACUGCUAACAUAUGUGUUCUAGAUUUUUAGCCCCACUAUAAACUUCUCUGCAGAAACAACAUUUAUCUGUCCGAGUUUCAGAACAUAAAAGUGUUGAUGUAAGUUUCUGGGGGAAAGAGAUAAAGAAAAAUGGAUAAAUGCAUGCAAAGUUUGUGUUUAGAAAUGUAUAGCUUUUAUUCAUGUAAAGAGUUCCAUAGUGCUCACACUGUGGCAAAUUUUGCAAAUUUAUGUGAACAUGUUAGAGGGUGAAAAAAAAAAUCUCAUCCUGCGAGAUUUGGUCCUCUUUGAAUUCAAAUAUUUUCUUUUAUUAUUCAACUUUUAAAAACACAACAUUUCACCCUGAUUUUCUGACAGGUAACAAGACGUAAAUAAAAACAACAACCUGUAGAUCAUCAGGGCUCAAAUUUCAAAUCUAAUAAAGAAAUCAAAAUGAUAAAACCACCACCAAAGAGUGCAACAAACUAAACUAUAAAGUUUAUAAAGCAAGCAGAAAGAACAUUUAUUUGGAAACUUUAUUUUGUUUUUGUACAUUUCCAUCAUCCAAAUUUACAUUAAAUUCAAGUCCUGAUUUGAAGAUCCAUUUCCGAAAAAAAAAAAAAAAAGAUAUCUUUCAACAUACACAGUUCAUCAUAGCCUUAACUCUGUAUUUAAAACAGCUUGUCCAGCAUCUAUUUGGCCAACUUCAGCUAACUUCAGACAAAAAAUGGGCAGUAUUCAAU